rnacentral:rRNA from 1 species
GACGAACGCUGGCGGCGUGCCUAAUACAUGCAAGUUGAGCGCUGAAGGUUGGUACUUGUACCAACUGGAUGAGCAGCGAACGGGUGAGUAACGCGUGGGGAAUCUGCCUUUGAGCGGGGACAACAUUUGGAAACGAAAGCUAAUACCGCAUUAAAACUUUAAAAACAAGUUUUAAGUUUUAAAGAUGCAAUUGCAUCACUUAAAGGUGAAUCCGCGUUGUUUUAGCUUAUUGGUGAGGUAAAGGGCCACCAAGGCGAUGAUACAUAACCGCCCUGAGAGGGUGAUCGGCCACAUUGGGACUGAGACACGGCCCAAACUCCUACGGGAGGCAGCAGUAGGGAAUCUUCGGCAAUGGACGAAAGUCUGACCGAGCAACGCCGCGUGAGUGAAGAAGGUUUUCGGAUCGUAAAACUCUGUUGGUAGAGAAGAACGUUGGUGAGAGUGGAAAGCUCAUCAAGUGACGGUAACUACCCAGAAAGGGACGGCUAACUACGUG